CUCACUUUGCACAUGAUCUGUUGCUUGCACUUGGAAAUACUAAUAAAAAUCAGCCCAGGGAUCUACUAUUUGUAGUGACCGCUCACAAUAUUUUUGUUCCAGAAAGUCCUCUAUUUCCAGUGCCAGCUAACCAACUCGUCCUUUUCCAUGAGCUACAGCCGAGUUUGCGCUUCUUCCAGUGAUUAUAUCUCCUCGUGCUCUAAAAAAGGCAAACUCUGUGAAUACUGGGUUUGGUUCCUCCUCAUGUUCCAUGUCUAUUGCAAGCACUGCUAUUUUGUACCUAUUUACAUGAUGGAAUUGUGGUGAAUUGUUUGCUUGUGACACAGUUACCAAUUGAGAUGUAAUAUGGGUAAAAAAAUACCUUGGUCAUGGUUCUGGAUUGGAACAUGUAGGACAUUUCAAUGCACCAUUUUCAGCUUCUUCCAGCAAACUUUGCAUCCCAUAUAUCACCAGUCAUAGGUCAAUUUACCACAGCGAUUUCAAUCGUGAGUUUGUAGUAUCAGUUCUGUAGAAGGGUCAAAACAUAUGUUGAGGUUAAUACUUAAAAGCAUGCAUAGGUGCAACAAUGGUAAUAAGUACUUCUGUUAAUACCAUGGUGUCAGUAGGUUCUAAACUGGUCAUGUUUUUAUUAGUUGUUUCAGUUGGUUCCUGUCAC
rnacentral:lncRNA from 1 species